rnacentral:rRNA from 1 species
AGUGAACGCUGGCGGUAGGCCUAACACAUGCAAGUCGAACGGCAGCACAGUAAGAGCUUGCUCUUACGGGUGGCGAGUGGCGGACGGGUGAGGAAUACAUCGGAAUCUACUUUUUCGUGGGGGAUAACGUAGGGAAACUUACGCUAAUACCGCAUACGACCUACGGGUGAAAGCAGGGGAUCUUCGGACCUUGCGCGAUUGAAUGAGCCGAUGUCGGAUUAGCUAGUUGGCGGGGUAAAGGCCCACCAAGGCGACGAUCCGUAGCUGGUCUGAGAGGAUGAUAGGCCACACUGGAGCUGAGACACGGACCAGACUCCUGCGAUAGGCAGCAGUGGGGAAUAUUGGACAAUGGGCGCGAGCCUGAUCCAGCCAGACCGCGUGGGUGAAGAAGGCCUUCGGGUUGUAAAGCCCGUUUGUUGGGAAAGAAAAGCAGCAGGUUAAUACCCCGCUGUUCUGACGGUACCCAAAGAAUAAGCACCGGCUAACUUCGUG